CGCCUACUCCCUCCGUUCGGAAUUACUCGUCCAAGAAAUGAAUGUAUCUAGAUGUAUUUCAAUUGUAGAUACAUUCAAUUUUGUGACAAGUAAUUCCGAACGGAGGGAGUAGGUG
rfam:Triticum aestivum genome assembly, contig: Triticum_aestivum_CS42_TGACv1_scaffold_602573_7DL